rnacentral:rRNA from 1 species
CCUACGGGAGGCAGCAGUAGGGGAUUUUGCGCAAUGGGCGAAAGCCUGACGCAGCAACGCCGCGUGAUCGAGACGCCCUUCGGGGUGUAAAGAUCUGUCAGUGGGGACGAAACUUGACGGUACCUGAAGAAGAAGCCCCGGCUAACUACGUGCCAGCAGCCGCGGUAAUACGUAGGGGGCAAGCGUUAUCCGGAUUUACUGGGUGUAAAGGGGGCGCAGACGGCGAUGCAAGCCAGGAGUGAAAGCCCGGGGCCCAACCCCGGGACUGCGCUUGGAACUGCGUGGCUGGAGUGCAGGAGGGGCAGGCGGAAUUCCUGGUGUAGCGGUGAAAUGCGUAGAUAUCAGGAGGAACACCGGUGGCGAAGGCGGCCUGCUGGACUGCAACUGACGUUGAGGCCCGAAAGCGUGGGGAGCAAACAGGAUUAGAUACCCUUGUAGUC